GAUGAACGCUGGCGGCGUGCCUAAUACAUGCAAGUCGAGCGAAUGGAUUAAGAGCUUGCUCUUAUGAAGUUAGCGGCGGACGGGUGAGUAACACGUGGGUAACCUGCCCAUAAGACUGGGAUAACUCCGGGAAACCGGGGCUAAUACCGGAUAACAUUUUGAACCGCAUGGUUCGAAAUUGAAAGGCGGCUUCGGCUGUCACUUAUGGAUGGACCCGCGUCGCAUUAGCUAGUUGGUGAGGUAACGGCUCACCAAGGCAACGAUGCGUAGCCGACCUGGAAGGGGGAUCGGCCAAACUGGGACUGAGACACGGCCCAGACUCCUACGGGAGGCAGCAGUAGGGAAUACUCCGCAAUGGACGAAAGUCUGACGGAGCAACGCCGCGUGAGUGAUGAAGGCUUUCGGGUCGUAAAACUCUGUUGUUAGGGAAGAACAAGUGCUAGUUGAAUAAGCUGGCACCUUGACGGUACCUAACCAGAAAGCCACGGCUAACUACGUGCCAGCCGCCGCCGUAA
rnacentral:rRNA from 1 species